AUGUCGCAGGCCACAAACGACCCUGGAGGGUUGACGAAGGCGAUCGUCUACGAUACGGAGGACUUCGUUCGCCUCUACGCCUUCAAGGAUGGAUGGACCGCCGAUGCCACAUCGGUUCCUACCGUCGACACGGAGUCAGUCGAGCGUCACUUCGGUGUCGAGUCGUGCAAGCGACUGAAGAAAGGCUGGGCUUUCAAGGAAGAAUGCCACGUGAAGAAGAUAAUGGUGAACAUUUUCGAUCCAGACCCGACUAUCUCUCUUGUGCGGAGUUUGUGCGCGCCUUCCAUGAAGCCUGGCCACUACAAACAGCUGCUUUCGCUAUCAACGAACGCCGAAGUUGUUCAAGCUUAUUGCGACUGUGUGGCAGGGUUGAGUGGAACAUGCCAGCAUGUCGCUGGCCUGAUGUUUGCCCUUGCUGACAUCCAGCAGCCCUCGACGACAGAUGUCAAGUGCCAGUGGAUUGCACCAGCAAAGGCUCUUUCUUUCUGUUCCAGCCAAAAAAAAAAAAAGCCCACUGCACUAAAUGACAUCACUUUCCGAAAACAUGUUCUUAACAAGACAACGCCAAAGCAACCCAAGCGCCGAGCCCCUGCUGCACAAAGUUCAGGAGUGUCGGAAAAGCUCCUCACUGACAAGAUCCUGAAGAAGUUGGGAGCUGCGGACCCUACGAUGCUGUGGAAUCGUUACGCAGUAGAGGCACCUCAGCAAAAUCAGCCCCGCCUUAUAGGGGACACUGAAGACCUGCUUUCGAGAAGGUGCAUGGAUAUCGCAAGGUCCUACGUGGCGUCUGUUCCUCCUACAAGUGAUGGGGAAAGACAGACAGUGUGCAAGUCUACAGUGGGUCAGCAAGUCAAUCCCACCUGGAGAAGAGAAAAGAUAGGCCGCCUUGGGGCAUCAAUGUUUCGGCGCAUCGUACACUGUGUUUGUCCCGAAGGAGUUCUGCGUGACAUUUUGUAUCCACGAGCACAUAGCCUGAAGCCCGGGGAUCCGCGACAGUACGGGAUAGACAACGAGCCAGUUGCUGUCUCUGCGUAUGUGACUUUCAUGGCAUGUCAGGGGAGAAACAUUGCUGUUGAGGAGACGGGCCUUCAUGUCCACAAAGACUAUUCGUAUAUUGCAGUGUCACCAGACCGCAUUGUGUUCGAGGGCAGUGACCAGGGCCUCCUUGAGGUGAAGUGUCCCCGUUCAAAGAAAGGAAUGACACCAGCGGAAGCCUGCAACUCUGAUGACUUCUGCUGCCACAUUGUGGAUGGGAGUGUAGUACUGAAGGAGACGCACGCCUACUACUUCCAAGUUCAGGGGCAAAUGGCAGUAGUUGGAGCACAGUGGUGUGAUUUUGUUGUGUGGACUAACAAUGGUCCUUUGUGGCAGUCCAUUUCAGUGGAACGUGUGCCUUUUGACAAGGGGUUUUGGGAGAAGGACAUUCUACCUGGCCUGCAGUACUUUUACCGGUUUGCCCUUGUGCCCGAGCUGAUCACACGCCGCAUCAAGCGGCUGAACUUCCUGCACACGGUUGGAAGAGGCUAUGUGCCCUACCUGAAGUACAAGGAUGGGUUCUAUGUGUGUGACAGUGAUCUGGACACCUUGAAAGUGUGUAUCAGGAAACUGAAGUGA